ACCCCUGCCCUCAGCCUCCUUCAAAGUGGCCGCUGGGGCUGGGGUCUGUCUUUGCAGAGGUGCCAGGCCACAUGCCCUGCCCACCUCUACCAGCUAUGCCGCCUCUGAAGUUCCUCCAGCGGCACUGAGGAGGGGCCCUGUGGUCGAGGGUGCAGUUAAACGAGGCCCGACCGGGUAGUUGAGCUCAGCUUGGCUGUACUUGUCUUCCUUGGACCUGCUGGGCACCCCCAGAGGUGUGGCGGGGGCCGCUGGAGAACGGCAGCCUCCCUCUGCUUCCCUUCCCAGGAGGGCCAUGGUUAUAGACACAGGUUCGGAGUCAGCCCCAGCUUGAAUCCUGCUUCUGCCACCAGCCCUGUGACCUGAAGCAAGUGAGUCCCAAUCACCUCAUCUGUGCACUGAGAUGCAGAGUGGCUAUUUCUACUGCAUGUGGCUGUUGUGGGGACUGGGCGAGAGAGAUCCCCAAUAGGUGCUAUGAUUUUUCUCCCUGCUUUGCCCUCCAGCCAUACCCGGAAGCCCCCGAGUUUUGAUCUGGCCCAGGUAGACCGAUCAUUUCCUCCAAGUCCCCCUUCCCUGAGGAGCUGGCGUGCUUCAGUCUCACAGAAUGGGCAACUGAGGUUGAGAGAAAGGAAAUAACUUGUCCCAGGCCAGCAGCUGAGUCACGACCAAGGCACUUCGUUCUUCAUCUAGUGCGGCCUGUGCAGCCAAAAUGCCUUCCCAUGAGCUUGCCACAUAACCAUGGGUGGCUCACUGGACUUUCAUCUGGGCAAAGAGAAGGGUGUGCUGACACUACUCAUGGCUCCUUCAUCUGGGACCUACCCAAAUCCCGUGGCUUUGCUCACAAUCAUCUGAUCCUGUUGUGCCCAAGAUGCCUGCUCCCAUGCCUGGAUACCUGCUGCAGCUGCUCCAAGCCAGGACCCUGCCAAUCUGUCAUUUUAGAUCUUCAGCUCUGGGUUGGUCUUCCAGGUGCCUCUGCCUCCCAAGGAAACCCAAGGAACUCCGCCAGAAAGGGAAUGCCUAAAAGAGCAGCAGUGGGGACUGUAGGGGUCCUCCUGCCUGCCCCUUUGUUAUCCAGAGUGGGGCCCUGACUUGCCUGAAGUCACACAGGGACUCCGGUAUUCCAAUCCUCGGCCUUAAGAUCGCUGCUAUCCGGUUACUUCUAUCUAAAAGCCCUAGAGAAGUUUCGGGAGACACUCAAAGGGCCCUUGUCUGGUUUCCAGGCUGACCAACUCUAAUGGAGAAAAAGCUCACUCACUAAGCAUACAUCAAAUGCCAGGCGUAUAGAAUCCUUCAGUGGAGGGAUCAUUCUCCCCAUUUUACAGAGGAAUAAAGUGAGGCUCAGAGUGAAUGAAA
rnacentral:lncRNA from 1 species